CAGCCGCCACGGGAAUACAGAGGGUGCGAGCGUUAAUCGGAUUUACUGGGCGUAAGCGUGCGUAGGCGGCUUCUUAAGUCGGAUGUGAAAUCCCUGAGCUUAACUUAGGAAUUGCAUUCGAUACUGGGAAGCUAGAGUAUGGGAGAGGAUGGUAGAAUUCCAGGUGUAGCGGUGAAAUGCGUAGAGAUCUGGAGGAAUACCGAUGGCGAAGGCAGCCAUCUGGCCUAAUACUGACGCUGAGGUACGAAAGCAUGGGGAGCAAACAGGAUUAGAUACCCCGGUAGUCCCUGUCUCUUAUACA
rnacentral:rRNA from 1 species